UCGUACAAUGGGGGUACCCGGGUUGUCGCUGACUUUUCGUCGUGCACGCCCGAGUGCUCUCACAUACAAAUAUCCAUCUCACCCCUUUGUGCAUCACCGCGUGCGUCCCCCCCUUCCUCGGAGGGCGGGGUGCUCACGUUUUUAACAUCAAACACCCUAGUGUAGAAUGUUCUUUGCGCGAUCACGCGCGAAUCAAUACAACUUUCAACAACGGAUCUCUUGGCUCUCGCAUCGAUGAAGAACGCAGCGAAAUGCGAUACGUAAUGUGAAUUGCAGAAUUCAGUGAAUCAUCGAAUCUUUGAACGCACCUUGCGCCCCUUGGCAUUCCGAGGGGCACACCCGUUUGAGUGUCGUGAACAUCCUCAACCUGCUUCGUUCUAUCGAACCAAGUAGGCUUGGAAUUUGGAGGUUUUUCUGCUGGCUUCCUCUGAAGCCAGCUCCUCUUAAAUCUAUCAGUGGGAUCCGCUUUGCUAGAUCCUCGACGUUGAUAAGAUGUUUCUACGUCUUGGGUUUCGCUCGGGAAGGACCUGCUUCUAACCGUCCCCAUCGGGGACAAUGUUCGAGAGCCGAUCGCCCUUCACGGGGUGCGAAGCUUUUCGACCCAUGAAACCUUGACCUCAAAUCGGGUGAGACUACCCGC
rnacentral:rRNA from 1 species